AGUGAACGCUGGCGGUAGGCCUAACACAUGCAAGUCGAACGGCAGCACAGUAAGAGCUUGCUCUUACGGGUGGCGAGUGGCGGACGGGCGAGGAAUACAUCGGAAUCUACUUUUUCGUGGGGGAUAACGUAGGGAAACUUACGCUAAUACCGCAUACGACCUACGGGUGAAAGCAGGGGAUCUUCGGACCUUGCGCGAUUGAAUGAGCCGAUGUCGGAUUAGCUAGUUGGCGGGGUAAAGGCCCACCAAGGCGACGAUCCGUAGCUGGUCUGAGAGGAUGAUCAGCCACACUGGAACUGAGACACGGUCCAGACUCCUACGGGAGGCAGCAGUGGGGAAUAUUGGACAAUGGGCGCAAGCCUGAUCCAGCCAUACCGCGUGUGUGAAGAAGGCCUUCGGGUUGUAAAGCCCUUUUGUUGGGAAAGAAAAGCAGCAGGUUAAUACCCCGCUGUUCUGACGGUACCCAAAGAAUAAGCACCGGCUAACUUCGUG
rnacentral:rRNA from 1 species